rnacentral:rRNA from 1 species
GACGAACGCUGGCGGCGUGCUUAACACAUGCAAGUCGAACGAGAGUUAGAUCGAAUGAGUUUUCGGACAAGUGAGAUUUAACGAAAGUGGCGAACGGGUGAGUAACACGUGAGCAACCUGCCUUACACAGGGGGAUAGCCAUUGGAAACGGUGAUUAAUACCCCAUAAGACCACAAUACCGCAUGGUAAAAGGGUAAAAGGGAUACCGGUGUAAGAUGGGCUCGCGUCUGAUUAGCUAGUUGGUGGGGUAAAGGCCUACCAAGGCGACGAUCAGUAGCCGGUCUGAGAGGAUGAACGGCCACAUUGGAACUGAGACACGGUCCAAACUCCUACGGGAGGCAGCAGUGGGGAAUAUUGCACAAUGGGGGAAACCCUGAUGCAGCGACGCCGCGUGAGCGAAGAAGGCUUUCGAGUCGUAAAGCUCUGUCCUAUGAGAAGAUAAUG